rnacentral:lncRNA from 1 species
CAACAUCAUGCUCAUGCUGCUUUGACAUGUUCUUUUGUCUCUAAUCCAGGCAUCUCGUGUUUUCUGCUGGUGUCAAGAAAAUAGUGACAGGCCCAAGACCCUUCGCAGAUCUUGAAACUACUCGCCUACCUAAGAGAAUCUUGACAUUGUUGACAUAAUCUUCACCUCCCUUUGCUUUUCCUUCCCUGAAAGGAAGCUGAGAGAGAGGAUGAGUCAAGUAACAGUAAACUUCGGAGAAGAUUAUCCAAAGGUGAUACCCAUUAAGAGGAAUCCCAAAAGAAGAGAACACUCACAUGAUGACAGAAGUGCAUGCUGGUUAGUGUUGUUUUACAUAAUGAGACAAAAUUGAAGCAAAUAUGUAAAAGUAGAUGAAUAAAGUAAACCUCAAUGAAAAAGCCUCUGAGAAA